UCACCAUGGUGCAUUUGUUAACUUUUCACAGUGAAUGAUGUGUGGGAUCCCCUUUGUGGGUGCACCAUUGACUGACCACGAGCUUUUGCAAAAGGAUUGAGUGUAAGCAUACCUAUUGGGACCUAAAAGAUGGUGAACUAUGCCUGAGCAGGGCAAAGCUAGAGGAAACUCUAGUGGAGGCUCGUAGCGAAACUAAUGUGCAAAUCAAACUUGGGUAUAGGGGCAAAAGACUAAUUGAACCAUCUAAUAGUUGG
rnacentral:ncRNA from 1 species